ensembl:lncRNA
UUCCCAGGCUAGGGGUCGAAUCAGAGCUAUAGCUGCCUGCCUAUGCCACAGCCACAGCAAUGCCAGACCCGAGCUUCAUCUGUGACCCAACACCACAGCUCACAGCAACACCGGAUCCUUAACCCACUGAGCAAGGCCAGGGACCUGUGUCUUCAUGGAUACUAGUCAUUUGUUUCCGCUGAGCCACAACAGGAACUCCCCUUAUUUUCAGUGCUGAUGUAUCUUCUGCUGUGUGCAACUGUAUCUGAAGACCCAUCUCCUCUAAGGCAAAAUGUGAUCUUAAAUUGUGCUAGGUCCCUGGAGAUGUUGGCCAGACCUCUCAAACUGCCACUGGGUAUCAGAGUCCUNNNNNNNNNNNNNNNNNNNNNNUCCUGCUGGGCAGGGCACUGGCAGUACAGCUCCCACCCCCUCAGCGGCCACCAGCCUGGAUCGGUGGCUCUUAUCAGGAACAGAGAGUAACUUGAGCCACCUGUCCACCCAUCUCUCAACUGCAAAGCAGGCGCCUUCUGCUCUCAGGUUGCACAAAUGCCUGGAAACCUUACACCGGGUGUGAAGGAAGAAGCAAUAGGGGAAUCCACACAGCAUCUGGUGCCCUGCCUGCUUCCAUGCACUGCCUGGGGCCACAGAGACCAGCGGGCCUAAUUCACUCACUGCAAAGCCUUGGGACCAGAAAGACUGCAUGGUGAUUGCAUUGUCACCAGACAAUGGAGGUCAGCAUCAUCCAGAAUACCAGUAAGACACAUCCCCACUGGCCUCAUUCUCCAAACAGCUGGAAUGCUACCUCCUCUAUAAUAUUUUCGUGGAGACAAAGAAUCCAACUCUGAAAAGCACAGUUUUAGUUCACAUCUUUAAAUGCAUAAGUUUGUUAAGGUUAACCAAACUAUAAUCAAAGCCUAAGCUUGAAACCAUCAAGUCUAUGUCUGAAUCAGAAUCCACUACUGUCCAGUAAACAAGAGAAAAACACUCCCUGUUUACUGACCCAUAUCUGUUCACUUUCCAUCAAGUCUUAACUCACGGAGUGGUCAUAUUCCAAGGAUGAAGAGCAUUCACUCAGUCCUGGGCUUUCCACAAACACAGGAGUGAGGUGCAACUAAUGGCAAUUAUGGCUGCUGAGAUGCAAACUCCUAUCAGGAACUAAACCUUUCUUUCUCACAAUUCAAUACCAAACCUGGUUCACUGAACAGGCUCCCGACAGCAUUCAAUGACAUCCAUAAGGAUAAACCUGGGCGUCUUGUAUAUGUCUGGCAUAGAAGAUGCGAAGCAUCUCAUGUAUGUCUGCAGUCCGCAUACAGAACAGAAACCACCCUGCAGUUAGAGUCUAUGCACAAUGCCACAAGGCAGAUCCCAAGUAUCAUUACUAACUGGGUCACAAAUGGGACACCUGACCCGAGAUGGGCCCUACUACCACAAGACAGGACCAGGAGCAGCGGACUACAGCAGGUAAAAAGCUGAGGAUGCAGACAUCUUUAAAAGGUAUCAUUGGCCAGGGACUUACGGGUCUCACAUGGAAGAGAGAGGCGGACUAGGUCUCCAACCCUGUGAUUUCAUAAAAACAGAGACUCCUACUUGAUGAGACCCUGUACCAAUCAGAGUCAUCCUCACCAGAGACAUUUAGACGUAGUUAUCUCGGUAGACCAGAAAGGAAUAAUCCUAAGUCUAGAGAUCUAACAAAUAGGAAAUAAAAAAACCUACAUGAGCUGACAUAAAAUGAUCUCCAAAUACUAUAGAGAUAUGUAUAUGAAUGUUAAUAUUACCAUUUGAGAUUUUAAAAGAGGAUGGAGGAAAUAUUAUAUAGGUACUAUCUCUGGACUUGUACCCAGAUAACUAAUCAUACUGGUUAUUUCCAAGGAGAGAAACAACACAGCUGGGAAAAGGCACAUAAUAAUAAGGGAGUUCUCAGAGUUCCCAUCAUGGCUCAGCAGUAACGAAACCAAACAGCAUCCAUGAGGAUGCAGGUUCGAUCCCUGGACUCGCUCAGUAGAUUAAGGAUCCAGCGUUGCCGUGAGCUGUAGUGUAGGUCACAGAUGCAGCUCAGAUAUGGCACUGCCAUAGCUGUGGAGUAGGCCAGCAGCUGCAGCUCCAAUUCGACCCUCAGCCUGGGAACUUUCACAUGCCGCAAAUGUGGCCCUAAAAAGCAAAAAAAAAAAAAAAAAAAAAAAAAAAAAAAAGAAAAGAAAAAAAAAUUAAGGGAGUUCUUCCUGUGGCAAGUAGGUUAAGGAUACAACAUUGCUGCAGCUGUAGCACAGGCUGCAGCUGGGACUCAGAUUCAAUCCCUGGCCUGGGAACUUUCAUAUGCCGUGGGUGCAGUUAUAAAAAUAAAUAAAUAAAUGCAAAACACGAAAGGUGAAAAACAAAAAACUCCAUAUAAGAAACUCCCAGAGAACUCACACCCAAAACGUAGAAAAGAUUAAGAAAUGAAAGAUUCUACUUAGUCCUAAAGCCCAAAGUUUGAGCUUAUUGCUUGCUCUUUCAUACCCUCUGAGCCUGAAAUAACCCGCCCAUAAAACUGGGCACAUCAUCAACGCUACCUGACUGAAGCAGAGAGCUGGUCCAGAUAACUUCUAGAUGCCAUUAGCUCUCAUGAUUCCAUACCACCCCCCAUUACCAAGCCACUGAUCUACUGUUGAUCCAUUAUUUGAUCUAUAAUAAAAUGAGAGGCUGAUAACUUAAAAGCAAAAAACAAACAAAAUAACAAACUAUCAUAUCUAUAGCCACAAAUUAUUUCACUGAACUUGCCCUGAAUAUGAACUAUAGGAAAGUGAGAUAAAGACAUAAAGUCUCUUAAUAAAAAACUUGGCGCAUACAAGCUAGCAAUAAAUUUUAGCAAAAGCCCAAUUCAAAACGCUGGCUAGAUGCAAACUACAGAAGAAAGAAAGUGGGGUUCAGCGGUGACUUCAAGUUCUAUAUAAAUCCACUGUCAGGUAAUGGCUAAAAUGUUUUCAAUAUAAAAUAUGUGUUGGGGUUAGUAGAUGCAAACUAUGCAUUUGGAGUGGGUAAGCCAUGAGAUCCUGCUGUACAGCACUAGUCACUUGUGAUGGAACAUGAUGGAGGAUAACGUGAGUAGAAGAAUGUAUAUAUAUGUAUAUCUGGGUCACUUUCCUGUACAGCAGAAAUUGGCAGAACACUGUAAAUCAACUAUAACCAAAAAAAAACUUUUAAAUAAACGGGCGGUAGGCAAAGACAACGACGUACAAAUUCAUUCCAUUCCUUAUCAAUCACACCCUUUGAUCUGAGGGGCAUGAGGCCCAAAGAAAAAGUCACUGGAUAAAAAGCCCUAAGAUGUGGUACAAGCAUCAGUUUUUACCCCUUCCUCAUCAUGAGGCUUAGAGACAGACGUAUGUUCCCACGAUCUGAAAAAUGGGAAGGAGAACCACCCGUCUCUUGGGCUGGUUGUAGGAAAUACGUGAGGACUUAUGUCACGGCAUUUUAUAAACUAUAAAACAUAAUAUACAUUUAAUUAUUGAGUAUUAUGUGCAAUUUAAGUCACUGUGCUUUAUUUAAAUACAGACAUGGUGAUUACACCUUGCUUUAAAUCCAGACAUAGUGAUUACAAAGAAAGCAUCAAAAAUUAUUAAAGAGAUUUUAAAAAAUAAAUGUAUUUCAACACUUACUGAAUGUUAUUAUAAUAUAUCACUGGCACUGAUGGAGGAGCCAAGGAUACAAAGAUUAAGAGACUGUCCCUGUCUUUAAGGAUAUCAAAAAGCACUGUGGUACAAGAGAACAGGGCUUGGUAAUUAUAAUAAAAACAGCUAUCCUGUUGUGGCAAAGUGGUAACAAACUCCACUAGCAUCCAUGAGGAUGUGGCUUCAACCCCUGGCCUCACUCAGUGGCUUAAGGAUCCGGCGUUGCCAUGAGCUGUGGUGCAGCGUGCGGCUUGGAUUCUACCUUGCUAUGGCUGUGGUGUAGGCUGGCAGCUGCAGCUCUGAUUUGAACCCUAGCCUGGGAACCUCCAUAUGCUGCGGGUGCAGCCCUAAAAAGUAAAAAAAAUAAUAAAAUAAAAAUAAAAACAGCUAUUGCUUAGAAAAGUUACAUAACUUUUUUGUUUUGUUUUGUUGUCUUUUUGCCUUUUCUAGGGCUGCACCCACGGCAUAUGGAGGUUCCCAGGCUAGGGGUCGAAUCGGAGCUGUAGCCGCUGGCCUACACCACAGCCACAGCAACUCGGGAUCUGAGCCGCGUCUGCAACCUACACCACAGCUCACGGCAACGCCGGAUCCUCAACCCACUGGGUGGGACAAACUUUUCUAAGCAUGACACACACACCCCAAAAAAACAGAAACCAUUAAUGUUAAUAGACUCUGUCACAUUAAAAUAACCUCUGACAGACUAAAUGAAAAAAGCAAGGUGCAAAAGAAAGCAUGGAGUACACUAGUGUCUGGGUACAAAGAAGGAGGAGGAAUAACACAGGAAACUAACAGGGCAGAUGGGGAACCAGGGUGAGAGGAAGACGCUUCACUAAACAUGUCUUUAUAAAUUUGGAGUCACAACAUCUACUUAUUAAAAGUAAAAUAGUUCACAUUCUGUUUAACUCUAUUCCAAAGUAUUUGACUUUGUGUGUGUCUGUGGUAGAAUGACACCUAUCAUCACUUCUCUAAGAGCAAUCAAUGGAAAACAGCUUGGGGUAAUAGGAGUUAGACAAUUUUCUGGUUUUGCUGGACCAAUCAAUUUUUUUUUUUUUUUUUUUUUUUUGCUUUUUAGGUCCACACCACAGCAUAUGGAGGUUCCCAGGUCCAAUUGGAGCUGCAGCCGCCAGCCUAUGCCACAGCCACAGCAACAAAGGAUCCAAGCCGCAUCUUUGACCUACACCACAGCUCACGGCAAUGCCGGAUCCUUAACCCACUGAGCAAGGCCAGGGAUCGAACCCAUAACCUCAUGGUUGCUUGUCGGGUUCUCUAACCACUGAGCUAUGACAGGAACUCCUGGACCAAUCAAUUUUUUUAAGUUUCUUCAAACUCUGGGAUACUGCUAAACCAAAGAAGUGUUUACUAUUUGCCAGAACCAGCACCGCAGAAAGCAAUUUAUAGUGAAGCAAAAAGUCAGUAAAGGUAAAUGAUCCUUACCCCAACCUCAAGAAAAUCAAAUAUAAAGGUUUCUAGAAAUAGGCUUCUCAUGAUUAAAAAGCAAAGCCUAUUGGAGAACACUUACUCCAAACUACUCCCGGACAGAGAAAUGCCAAGGAAGCAUAAAGGAAAACUGCCUAUCUGCACAGAUACAUGGGCGUCCGUUAAUCACAGGAGUGACAUACAUCCGACAAAAACCAUUAAUGGUCCAUGAUAAGCACCUCUCUGAAAGGCGUCUGCUGUGUGGACA